AUGAACAUUUCGAGGUAAAAAUAAGGUUAUAAGUAGUAGGCAGAUGGAAAAUUUUGGGGGAGAAACAUUUGGCUGGGGGAUGAGGGUUAUAAAUAGCCAAUAGUAUGAAAUAGAAAUCUGUCCUUGUCCUGAUCCUGUUGAGCUUCCUGGGGACCUCUGCUGGUUCCUGGCACAGCUGGUGUUCAAUGGCAGCUCUGCAUGGGAAUAUCCACACUCCAGGAGGCACUGGGAGGUUAUUCCAGUGGGAAUUCAGCAGGUGGUGUUGGGCUGUGGGUAUAAUUCCUAUAAACUAGCAAAGCUGAUACUGAACCCCAAAUCUGGGCCCCACCCUGGGAACAAUCUCUGUGCUGCCCUGCCAGCCAAAGCCCCUGGGCUGGGAAAUUUCAGCAGCCAAUCAUUUUUAACAAGCAUUCUUUCUCUACUCUGGAGAUUACCACAAGAUUUACCCUAAAUUUUUUCCGUACCUGUCCACUACCUAUUACCCCAUUUCCACCUUGGUAUUUUCAUUCUUUACUCUAUGGAUGUUUUCAAUUUUCCUCCCCAAUGAUUUCCCUAUCUGUCUGUAACUGAUUAGCUCACUUUACCCCAUGAAGGGCAUUCUCUCUGCUACAAAUCAUCUCAGAUUUUACCCCUGAAUUUUUCUCUACCACCUCUCAGUACCUCAUUUUUACUUCAAAAUAUUAAUUUUCUACUUUGGACAUUCCCACAAGUUUUAUCCCCAGAUUUACCCACCUGUCCACAGCAAUUCCCUCAGGUUACCUCAGUUCCUGCUCUCUCUUAGAGAUAAUCUCACAUUUUACUCAGUCAGUUUUCCCUACCUGCCCCAUACUGAUUACCUACCUCCUUUUUACCCCAAAAUAUCCGUUUUUUUCCUCUACAGACUGACUCAGAUUUUAUUACCAAAAUGUCCAUUUUGUCCCCUGUAUACUAAUUACAUUUUAAAACCAAAACCACACAGGUUAUGUCUCUCAUCCCCAAAAUGUUCAUUCUGUCCCCUGCAAAUUAUGUCUGAUUUUUCUUCCCAAAACACUUAUUGUUCCUACUUAAUUACCUCAGGGUUUGCCCCCCAAAUUCUACCUAAUGUUGAUUCCUGAUCACUUUGUUUCUACCUCAGUAUCUUCAUUCUCUGCCCUAAGGAUCUUCCCAAGUUUUACCCCCAAAAUUUCCUUGCCUACCCCCAGUGACUGCCUCAGUUGAUGUCAGUGUUCCCUCUCUCCCUAGAGAUUAUCUCGAGUUUAACCCCUAAAAUUUCCCUUAGCUCUCCACAACUUAUUACCUCAUUUUUACCUAAAAUAUUCAUUCUCAACCUUUAGAUUAUUUCAAGUUUUGUCCCCCCCAAAUUCCCCUAUAUUGAUUCCCUUAUUUUUCCUUCAAUAUUUACUUUCUACCAUGUGGCUUUUGUCAAGAUUUACCCCUCGAACUGUCCAUUCUGUACCUCAUUUUUACUUCAAAAUGAUCACUCUACAGAUUUUUCUCAUAUAAUUUUUUACCUCAAAUUUUCUCCAUCUGCCCACAACUGAUCCUUUCACAUUACCUCAGUAUGUUCAUGUUCUUUUCUAGAAAUUAGCUCAGAUUAAGCCCCCAAAUUUUCCCUACAUGCUCAGCACUCAUCACCCCAUUUUUGCCUCAAAGUGUUCAUUUUCUACUCUUGACAUUUUUUCAAGUUUUGCCUCCAAAAUUUCCCUUACUUGUCUACUACUGAGUACCUCAUUUUUACUCCAAAAUAUUCAUUCUGUCCCCUAUAGAAUAUAUCAAGUUUUACCCCCAACAUUUUUCUCCUGGUACAAUAUUGAUUAACUCUUUUCUACUCCAAAAAUGUUCACUCUUUCCCCUAAACAUCAUCUCAGCUUUUCCCUCAAAGAUGCCCCCUCGCUCCCCUCCACAUCCCCUCACAUUUUCCUGCACAAACAGUUCUUGUGUCCCCUCUCAACUGCCUCAGGUUUUCAGCCAAAAAUGUCACCUCUGUCCCUUCUAAGUUAUCCCAGGCUUUCCCAGUUAGGAGCUGCAAGGAAUUCAGGCAAAUGACAGCAGGGAACAGCUGUAAAUUCCAAGGCAGAAAGACAAGAUCUACCAGGAAAGGGGAGAGGUUUCAGAAAACAUUUCUGCAAUUAAUAAUUAAUAAUUAUUUCCAAUUUCCCAGUGAGAAGAACAUGAACUCACAGCCAUUGAGGCCUGGCAGUCCCCUGCAGUGAGAGCUCAGUGCACAUCCACAGAGGCAAUUCCAGCAUCUGAAAGAAAGGAAGGAAGAAGAAAAAGGGACUGCUGCAAUCAAACUCUGAAGCUGACAAGCCCCAAAGCUCUUUCUGUCUGCUCUGGAACAAAAGGAUCCUCCAGGGCUGGGGCCCAUUCCCAGCAAACACUCCCAACACGGCCCAGAGGCACCCCUGGAGCUGUGCGUGGGGCUGGCAGGGGCUGCAGGAGGACACAGCCCCAGGGGUGGCAGUGGCAGUGACAGCAGCAAUUCCCAGGCUCUGGUGGCACAGCAGGGACAAAGGCCAGCAAUGCCCACGGGAGGUGCAGGUUUCAUUCUGCUCCCUGCGCUGCCACAGCCCAGCAGGAAAUCUCCAGGGGGACAGAAACUCUCAGGGUGCCCAAAAUGCAGCAUCUGUCCCCCUGAUCCUGGGUGAACUCAGCGUGUGGGGCCAACCCCCACAGGCAAACCCUGCCCUGAGCUGGCUCAGGCUCAGACACUGCCCCAGCUCUCACCUGCAGCUGCUCCCGGGGCUGCCCCCACAUUCCUGACAGGAGCCAAAGGCCCUUUGGGCAGGGCUCUCUCUGUGCCUCAGGCCUUGGGGACUGCAGGGAGCAGGGCAAGGACAGCCUGGAACCAGGGCAGAGCCCUCUGGCUUUGGGACACUCUGGGGACAGCUGGGCACUCACCCCACACCACGGGCAGGCCCAGGGGCCCUCCAGGGCAGGCUGACCGGUCUGUGCCCAUUGGAUUUGGCUGCUCAAACACCAAAGCUUUGGGCAAGGAUGGGAUGAGUUAAGUGGGUUUUCCUGUCCUGAAAGAGAGGAGAAAAUGGAAAUGAAGUCCACUCAAA